AAGAAAUACUAAAAAUAGAAAUAUUAAUUGAAUCUUAAUCAAUCCUUAGAUAAAAGUCUAAUUUAAAUCUUAAUUGAACCUUAAUUAAAUCUUACGUCAAAUCCUAAUGAAAUCCUAAUAAAAUCCUAAUAAAAUCUUAAAUCCUAAAAAAAACCCUAGAUAAACUUUAAUUAAUCUCUAGAUAAGUUUUAAAUCAAACCUUAAGUAAAUUCUAAUCCUAACCAAAUCCUAGAC
rnacentral:lncRNA from 1 species